rnacentral:lncRNA from 1 species
UUGAGAUAUCAGCUGAUGUACGAAGGGCUAUAUAAAUAAAUUUGAUUUGAUUUGAUUUGACAAUCGAGUACUUCUUCUCCCUCGGGAGGAGCUUCCUGCUGACAUACAUGAUUGGGUGCUCCUCACCUUCCUGCUCUUGGGACAAAACGGCCCCUACCCCUGUGUCAGACGUGUCUGUCUGGACCAGGAGGUUUUUUGAGAAGUCUGGGGUGACAAGUACCGGGUGUGAACAUGGUGCAUCCUUCAGGGCCUGGAAUGCCGUCUCUGUGUCCUCCGUCCAUCGCACCGUCUGGGCUAGUCGUGCCUUCGUUAAGUCUGUGAGGGGAGAACUAUUGUGGCAAAGUUAGGUACAAAUCGACUGUAGUAGCCUGCUAACCCCAGGAAUGACUUCACCUGCUUCUUGGUUCGGGGGACCUGCCAUUCCCUAAGGGCAGCGAUUUUUUUCUUCUUGGGGCUUCACAUUUCCCCUCCCUAUCAGAUAGUCCAGGUACUCCACCUCGGCGUAGCCCAGCUUGCACUUGUGGGGGUUUGCAGUCAGACCUGCAUCCGUUAGCGCAUCCAUCACUGCCUGUAACCUACAAAGAUGGGACUCCCAACUGUCACUGUGCACAAUUAUGUCAUCCAAAUAAGCAGCCGCAAGACGUGGUACAUGAGUCGCUGAAUGGUCGCUGGUGCCCCGUGGAGCCAGAAAGGAAGAACCCGGUAGUGGUAUAGCCCCCCCACCCCGAGGUGGAAAAGGCCGUCUUCUCCCGGGAGGCCGCUGCCAGCAGCACCUGCCAGUACCCCUUCGUCAGGUCCAAUGUGCUGAUGUAUCUCGCCCUACCCAAGCGGUCGAUCAGUUCGUCCACCCGGGGCAUUGGGUAGGUGUCAAACUUAAUGACCUCAUUCAGGCCCCGGAAGUCAUUGCAGAAGCGGACGGUUCCGUCCGGUUUCGGUACCAGCACUAUAGGGCUAGACCACUUACUGUGGGACUCCUCCAGUACCCCCAUCUCUAGCAUUAUCGUCACUUCCCGUUGGACCACCACCCUCCGGGCUUCUGGUAUCCGGUAUGGCCAUUUACGCACUUUUUCUCCCGGACGUGUGUGGAUAGAAUGUUCCACGAGAUCCGUGUGCCCCAGCACCUCUGAGAACACGACCGUAUUCUGCUGGACAAACUCUCUGAGCUCUUGUCGUUGGGUGGGGCUGAGGUCUUCCCCCAUUGCAACUUUGACAGAGGGCAGGCUCUGCUGUGGCCGGGUCUAUUUCUUCAGCAAGUUCACAUGGUAAAGCUGGAGGAGUUUUCUCCGCCCCGUUUGGUGGACCUUGUAAUUGACGUCGCCUACCAGCGCAACAAUGUCGUAUGGCCCAUGCCACGUAGCCAGGAAUUUUACUCUCCAUUGUAGGGAUCAGCACCAAGACCUUCUCACCUGGGUGGAACUCUCAUGGUUGGGCCCCCCAGUUGUAGACACGCUCCUGGGCGCGUUGCGCCUGGGCCAUGUGCUCCCUCAACAUUGGCCAAAUUGCCGUCAUCCUCUCCCUCAUUUCCUCCACAUGUUCUACUACGCUGCGAAGGGGGGGGUCGGCUGCUCUUCCCAGACCUCUUUGGCUAGGUCCAGCAGUCCGCGGGCCGACGGCCAUACAGAAGCUCAGAGGGGGAGAACCCAGUGGAUGCUUGGGGUACCUCGCGCACUGAGAACAUCAGGUGGGGCAGCAGCUGGUCCCAGUUCCUCCCGUCUCUCUUGAUGACCUUCUUCAACAUCUGCUUUAGGUUCUUAUUGAAGCAUUCAACUAGCCCAUCCGUUUGUGGAUGGUACCCACUGGUCCUCACCUGUUUUAUUCGUAAUAGAUUGCAGACAUCUUUCAUCACACGAGACAUGAAUGCGGUGCCCUGGUCCAUCAUGAUUUCCCGUGGAAUACACAUCCGGCUAAAUAAAUGGAAGAGCUCCCGCGCAAUACCUUUUGCUGCCACCGUGCAUAACGGGAUUGCCUCAGAAUACCGGGUCGGAUAAUCCACGAUUACCAGGAUGUAUUGGUGUCCCCUCGCGGUCUUCACCAAUGGACCCACCAGAUCCAUUGCCACCCGCUCAAAUGGCACUCCUAUAAUGGGCAAGGGAACCAAAGGGUUCCUUUCCUGUGGCUCAGUUGGUAGAGCAUGGUGUUUGCAACGCCAGGGUUGUGGGUUCGAUUCCCACGGGGGGCCAGUACAAAAAAAAAAAAAUGCAUGUAAUUAAAUGAAAUGUAUGCAAUCACUACUGUAAGUCGCUCUGGAUAAGAGCAUCUGCUAAAUGACUAAAAUGUAAAUGUAUAAUGUACCCUUGGAGCUGUGAUCUGGCACUCCAGGCAACUACAGCAGUAGUCCUCCAUGGUGCGCUUGAACCGGUUCCCGAUCCGCUCCCUGGUUUUCUCCAUCCCAAGGUGUGCCCCAAGCAGCAUGCCAUCCACCACAAUCACCUGGCCCCUAGCCUUCUGGAGAUUGGGGUCUUCUAACUGGGCCGUCCUGAACUGACCCGUGAGGAUUACCGUGUCGGGAGGUCCAUCUGGGGCCUCCACCUCCAUAAAGGGGAGCCUGAGGUCUUCCUCGCACAGUGGCUCGCUUGCCGGAGUGGGGUCGUCUCCCUCCUCCAGGUCCGACUCGGGCCCAGUGGACACCUCUCGAGGCGGGGAGUGGGUUGUGCAGGCCACUGUCCUUUUUCCUUUUCUUCCUACCUCACGUGCGCACCACCCCAGGUCCCUCCUCCACAGUGCCUGGAAGAGAGUGCAAUCUCGACCGAGGAAAAUGGACAUAGGCAGCAGGUCCAGGGUGUUCUGGUGAGUUUCCACAGCGGUCAGCAAUUCCUGCAGGCUCUGGGGGUUCUGCAUGCACAAUGUCUUCUUCAUCUCGUAUGGCAGGGCCGAAGGUAUCGAUCCAGGACGAGCUUGUCGAUCAUCGGGAGGGACGGUACUUCUGUCAGUAGCCAGCCCUUGGUCAGGCGCACCAGGUCACUCAUCUGAGCACGGGGGAAAAGGGUGGGGUCAAAGGCC